rnacentral:rRNA from 1 species
UACGUAGGGUGCAAGCGUUGUCCGGAAUUAUUGGGCGUAAAGAGCUCGUAGGCGGUCUGUCGCGUCUGCUGUGAAAACCUGGGGCUUAACCCCGGGCCUGCAGUGGGUACAGGCAGACUAGAGUGUGGUAGGGGAGACUGGAAUUCCUGGUGUAGCGGUGAAAUGCGCAGAUAUCAGGAGGAACACCGGUGGCGAAGGCGGGUCUCUGGGCCAUAACUGACGCUGAGGAGCGAAAGCGUGGGGAGCGAACAGG